CACAAGCAAGGAAUUCCAUUCUUGUAAAUUGGUCAUUUUUCCAUGCCAUGGUCUUUUUGCCUUGCAAAGCCUUCCAUCUUGCCUUGCCAUAAACCAAGUCUUGCCUUACAUUGCAUCAUACCACACACCUAGCAACCAACCAAGGCAAACAUGAUACAAUAACAAGACCAUGCACAUUCAUAGAACCAACCAACCAAGCCACAUGACUAUGUACAUUAAGGCAUGACCAACCAUUUGCAAAAUUCACCAAAACAAGAGCUUACCAAAUACAUCAUGUUAUAAGUUUCUGCAAGCAACAUACAACCCUUACCCUAUAGUAUUCCUUGCAUC
rnacentral:lncRNA from 1 species